rnacentral:lncRNA from 1 species
UAGGGUGGCUCUAUACAAACGUUCCAUCUAUUAAAAGAGAAGUUGUAACGACGUAGAGAAAACCCCUCUGCCAACUCAAAGGGGUAGAAAAGAAGACGAGAAUUCAGGGACUUGAAUAUUUCAGAGCAAAGGCAUCACCUGGUUAAGCAAUUGCAUGGUGGCUCGGUAAAAACUAAUUAUUUUACUCUGGCUCGGGAAUAACGUCGACUACGAUGACUUAGGCUACGAAAUAAAAACCAUGGCUGCUAAUUCUUCGAAAAAGGGGAUGAACUACGUAGUUUUUGAUUUAGUGUCCGAAGACUAUUUUUUGCUCGUCAAGAUCGCUCUAAACAUUAUACUUAUGGAAAUGCGAAACGUCUCUACAUUCCCCGGUAAGAUCCUAAGGUAAAGAAUCAUGGUACUGGUUUUACUUGAGGACGAAGGUAGUAGAGAAGGUUUAACUACAAGGUUAUAGAAGAACAGUAAAAAAGGGUGUGAAGGAAAAACAAAAAAGAAAAAGAAUAAUAAUUGUUUCUCUGCUCCAUGGAACUUUAUUUAUUAACAAGGCUACCUUGGAAGAUGGCCCCUAACUGGUAGCUAUGUGCCGUGUAUUUAAAAAAAUUAAUGAAUAAAAUAAAUAAUGAUUUAGUUAUUAGUCUGGUCAUAUCAAUUUUCUAUCAAUUUCAAUUUUACUUAGGCGAGAAUCCUUAGUAAUUUAGCGUAUUUACUAACAAGACUACAGAGUACAUUUAAACAGAGUACCUUUAACAAACAGCGCGUUCUUGUUUUAUUAAGAGAUACCACAUUGUUUUAUAGAGAGUAAAGGUUGAGCUUAUCUAAAAAAGAAAACUAAAGGUUUAUUUACAAAAACAGAACGGAACUUGCCACGUGUUUAAAAACCUUAGGCCAUGGUUGUCCAUAUUAGGGGGGGUCUUGUUGCAAGAGAAAGUCCGGAAAGUUGGUUAGUUAUGCUGGAGCAUCUCGUCGAAAACGAUUUUGAGCUCGCCAAAGAACUUUUGAACGAAGCCUAUACUUUGAAACUCAUAAGUCUCUGCGAGAACAAUAAGGGUUAUUCUAACGGGCUAUUGUCUAGCUAAGCAGGUUUCGUGCGGGACGAGCAAGGCGAGCGUUGUUAGGCUAAUUAAGAGGUCCGCUUUUUUGUAAUCUGUAAGGUAGAAGACUUUGGUUGUGAAAACUACAAUGAACUGCAUGUUAUUAGAGAUAUACAGAUAAUACCUAGACAUGGGGGACCCUAGCUAUUUGGAAAACCUAGAAUAAUUGGUUUCUCUAUGCUGAAACCCGAUACCAAUCGAGUCGAGGUUAGUUUUUGGGGGUCCCCUAGGGUUCUUAAGAACCAUACGCAAGCAAGGUUGGAAGUUGAGAGGAAAGCUCCAAGUAGCUAUCACUUAGUUAGCUUGCGUGAAGAUUCUAAACAAGAUGAAAACCUUCUGGAACGCAAUACAGUGGUCUAGAGCUAAAAAGUAUAUAUUUACAUUGAUUACAUAGAGGAAGCAUUUCCUAAAAGGGUAUUACUGGUACUUGUCAACGAGGUCCUCAUCGGUUUAUUCCGAAUCGACUAGAAUAUUGAUUUCUCAGCUGUAAUUGUUAAUUUUAAACUGGUCUAAAAAAAUGCACACCAAGCAUAAAUUUAUCUGUAUGUAAAAGUGUUUAUUUAACAGGUUCCGAUUAAAACCAGCUACAGAGAAGUGUUAUUAGUACUACCUUUUUCGUGGUUAAGUUUACCUUACCCAAGUUUUACUACAAUGACGUACCUAGCCCUAAUAUUUAGGAGGAUAAAAGUAGAUAAUUUGUCAUAAAUUCAUGAACUUCAUGAACCUUUUAGACAAAGUUUAACAGUUCAUCGUUUAUAAAGAAAUUGUGCUAGACUAAUACUCAAUAAUUUACCAUUCUACUUAUUUUUAAGCGAUAAAAUCCAUGUUAUCGCGGAUUCUCUGGAUUUCUUAGGGAUUAACCUUAAUCCCCUAGGCUAAGAAAACAGUUUAACAAUAUAAAGCUUGAUAACUUACCUGGUUAAGCUCUUGUUAACCUACUACUGUUUUAAUAGUUUCUAACCGUAAGGAAUAAAGCUAAGUUGUUGCAUGGUUAUCAAGGAACUACAACCGAUUCACUAACUUAGAAGCGGAACCUUAUUUUCCCUAACUAUAACCACGCUAGAUUAGGUAAUAGCCCUUAGUUAGGCCUUGAACGGGAUAGUAUGGAAAAAGGCCAUAUGCUUUAUCACCUGAACUGAUUGAGUUAAGAAUACUUUAGCGCUUAAUCUAGUAAACGGGAAUGGAGUUGUUUCCUUCGUACUUGGAGAAGAUAUUUUGGUAAAACAAGAACCAGGGUUAAGUUAUGAUUCGUUCAGGCUUGAUUAACUUAUGAACACACUAUUUAAGGAGCUUAACUGAACGGUAAAGGUAUUUCCUAUAUUAACUGUUGAGAUUCAACCUGUAAUAGGAAAAGGACGUUCUAUAGGGCUCCCUUUUCACAACGAUUUAAAUAGGGUAGCCUAUAAAGUAUACACUGAUGCCCAGCUUGGCUUUGUUUUAUGAAAAAGAACCAUCCACACUAGGCAACUUGUAUCUAGGUUAAAAAGGUAAAAAAACUAAGAAAUCUUAAAAAAAAAAGGCAAAGACCACCAUAUUUUUACGGCGACACGGACCUAUAGAAUAGACAGAGAGGUCCUUUUACUUAUAGAGGUCUUUUCUAAAAUUCAAGUUAUAUAAAAAAAAAAGAGAGGUGAGCCUGAUUAGGCGCAUGAGCCGAAGAACAUAAAUAUAAAUUUCGCUCAGCACAUAGAUGAGGUUACUAUGAUAACAAGGCCUGGUAAUAAUUACUCCUAGGGCCAUUCUAUACGUGAAGAAGCUCUUACUUUUUUUUGACUAGAUGAAGGCAAACCAUAAAGCCUGAUUUAAGAAAACGAGGAGCUAUGAGUUAGUUUAGAAGAAAAAAAUACUAACUUAGGUGGAGAUACCAGGGUAUAAAUCAUUAAGGCCUUGACGAAGAAGACAUAGCACCUAGUAGUUUUAUUCGUUCUUAUGAUAAAGAUGCAUUUUAUGGUAAAUACCCAUAAAGUUAGCUUUAUGGUUUUGUCCCAUAAUCAAGAAAGAGAGCAAGAACUAGUAUAACAUUACCCUACUACUUAGAUAAAGAAGCGAAAAAGCGGUUCUUUAGUCCUAAGAGAACCUCUUAUCUUCCUAUAUACUUUAAGGUUACUGGUAACCUAUACUAAGCUAGUUCAGAACUUAUCAGUUCUUAAAAGGAUAGAAAAAAUGGUCUUCAUAGGUUGUUAAAUACAGAAUGAACUAGUAAUCAGUAACUCCCCAAUCUCUAUAUAGAAGGAAGUUGUCUUUCUCUUAUUUGUAAGUAAACUAGAACUAGGAACACCUCGCUUUUUCUGUGAUAUGACCUAGACGUGCCUGGAGGACGAUUAUAGGUAUUUACUGAACAAAAACCAUUAUCUACUUGUAAUGGUAUACAUAUAAGUCCACGUACCAUCUGUAGCCAUGAGGUCACGUAAAGAGGGAGACUAAGUCUUAUUUAUACAAAAGCAUGGGAGAGAAAUUUUACUUUUCAUCUGCAAGGUCGUGCUUAGAGUCGUUAGUGAACAAGACUAAGAUGUAUAACUAGUAAAACUUGAUUUUAGUUUGAAAAACCGCCUUAUCAGUGUAAUACAUAUUAUAGGGCUGAGAGUUAUCAAUGUAUGUUCAGAUAUCUUGUAUCUUUUCGCCCUACGGGUACUGCCCAUGCACACCCUACUUGGUUUAGGAGUAACUUAAAAUAAAAAGGUAAUCUUCCUCGAGCAUGUACAAGACGUCAUGGCGGACACUUAUGAGGCGGCCAUACUUUUCAAGAAUUACAAUCAACUCAGGGGCCAAGGGGUUAACUAACUGGGCGUUAUUAUGGAUGCCGAAGAGGGUUAAGCUGGUCUAGCGGUACUCACCCUGAGGCUGGUAUUGUAUUAACUGUCUAGGUUCUACAUGAGGACGUUCAUUUCCCCCAAGCUUAUAUAUAACCAACACGAGCUUUCCAAUACUUAGCUAACUGUUCAGGUUAGGGUUAUAGAACUAAAGCUCACCGUUACGUAGCAUCUGGCUUAGUUAAUGUUAAUUAUUGGGCAACUCCAUAGAUUUAUUGGAUCGGUUACUUUUUUAUCUAUUUUGCAUUUAACAAAAUAGAUAAAAAAAAAAGAACUGGGGAUAUUAAUAUAUAUUAUGAUGUUAUGUGAUUUCUUGGUAUCCUAAAUAUAUGAUUAAUGAUUCAAGUUGGUGAGUUGAGAAAGAAAUGGUUGAAUCAAACUAAUUCCUUUUUUGAAGUUCAAUUUCUAUCAGAGGACAAUAUGAAUGUUAUACCAUGUUACAUUAAAACACUCAAGGGGUUAUAUGAUAUAUCGGGUGUAGAAGUAGGCCAAUAUUCACAUACACAUAGGGUUUACAAAUCCAUGCCAAGUACUUAUCACUUCUUGGGUCGUAAUUGCUAUCUUGUUAGGUUCAGUCAUCAUAGCUGUUCGGAAUCCACAAACCAUUCCGACCGACGGUCAGAAUUUCUUUGAAUAUGUCCUUGAAUUUAUUCGAGACUUGAGCAAAACCCAGAUUGGAGAAGAAUAUGGACCUUGGGUUCCCUUUAUUGGAACUAUGUUCCUAUUUAUUUUGUUUCUAAUUGGUCAGGUGCUCUUUUACCUUGGAAAAUCAUACAUUUACCUCAUGGGGAGUUAGCUGCGCCCACGAAUGAUAUAAAUACUACUGUUGCUUUAGCUUUACCCACGUCAGUGGCAUAUUUUUAUGCGGGUCUUACCAAAAAAGGAUUGGGUUAUUUCGAGAAAUACAUCAAACCAACUCCAAUACUUUUACCAAUUAACAUCCUAGAAGAUUUCACAAAACCUUUAUCUCUUAGCUUUCGACUAUUCGGGAAUAUAUUGGCUGAUGAAUUAGUAGUUGUUGUUCUUGUUUCUUUAGUCCCUUCAGUAGUUCCUAUACCUGUCAUGUUUCUUGGAUUAUUUACAAGUGGUAUUCAAGCUCUUAUUUUUGCAACGUUGGCCGCGGCUUAUAUAGGCGAAUCCAUGGAGGGUCAUCAUUGACUAGUUUCGAAAUAGUCUUUUUUUUUAGCUUAUCCCAAUUCAUGCAUGGUUCAAGAUAAUCUGCUUGGUUGGAGAACAUAAUAGAUAUAAAUACGUAUGAAGAUAUGACCUAGAGUCGUAGGAGAGAAGAUGAACGAUAUUACGGAAUUGUAAAAAAAAAAAUGGGUUGGGGAGGUCAACUAGAUGUAUGUAAUGUCUAUAAGUCCAGCCACUUUUUUGUGGGUUUCAAGGAAUGAUUCUAUAAUCCGAUUCAAUAUAAAAUGCGGCCAGUUACGUUAUGGAAGAAAGAAAUGUAUAUGUAAUAUGUAUAUGCAAUAUUAGAUAUUCACUAGUUAUAUAGUCCUAUCUAUAUAUAAAUAUAAGUCCUUAUACCCUACCUUAUACCCUACCUAUAUACUAACUAACUAUAUAUAUCUAACUAUAUGCUAUACAUAAUAAAUAUAUAUAUAGUUAGUUAUAGCAAAAUAAAAAAUAUAUAUAUAUGUAUUGAUAUACAUAUUGAUAUCGUUAUAUUGAUAUAUUGAUUCGUUGAUAUCGAUCAUAUUGAUAUCCAUUGCAUAUAUUGAUGAUUGCAUAUAUUGAUUUGAUUGCAGUUUACUGCAUUUAGAUUAGAUGGAUUACAAGAUAAGUCAAGUCCUUUCUUCUGUUUCAUUUGUGAUUGUGGAUUGGAUGAAAAAACAGAUGAACUCAAGGAUAUAGAAGAGUAAAGAACGAAGGAUUGAAUGAAAGAAUGGUUGGAAAGAAAGAAAUGCAAUAACUAGAACCGUAUGUAUAUGGAUUUACAAAAACUUCAUCAUGGGUAGAAACUAAAAACGAGAUAUCGAAGUAGUUCUGACGAGUCAGUAAUAUUAUCAUUAGUUUUUAGUUACUUCGACCCAAUAGAUCUUAAUGAUCAAACUUAAUGAUAAAAUUAAGUAAUAAUUCAUUGGUCGAUUGUAUCAUUAACCAUUUCUUUUUUCUUUUUUUGGUGCGAGGAACUUACCAUGAAUCCACUGAUUUCUGCCGCUUCCGUUAUUGCUGCUGGAUUGGCUGUAGGACUUGCUUCUAUUGGACCUGGAGUUGGUCAAGGUACUGCUGCAGGCCAAGCUGUAGAGGGUAUUGCGAGACAACCAGAAGCAGAGGGUAAUAACGAGGUACUUUAUUGCUUAGUCUAGCUUUUAUGGAAGCUUUAACAAUUUACGGACUGGUUGUGGCAUUAGCGCUUUUAUUUGCGAAUCCUUUUGUUUAAUCCUAGAAAUGUAAAAAAGUACCUUAGAUUACAUACUCUUUUUACUUUUUUUCUUAUUUUAUUAACUUGAAAUUAAAUUGCCGUUUCCUUCUUCGAAUUAUAUCAACACUUUACUCCUAUAAUUACUUAUUUGUUGAGACUCCAGGAAGGACUGCUUUGAGGAUGAGGAAUUACCAGAUCACUCGCUUUCUUCCUUCCCGUCUUAGUUAGUACAAUGGAAACUUUUUUCCUUUUAGGAAACGUUUCCACAAACGAUAUAUUUCGCAUUGAAAUGAGACCUAAGACCUACCUAAAUGAAAUUACUAGAUUUAAUCUAUUCCCAUUAAAAAGGGGGAAAUUCAAUUAAAAAUAAUAAAAUGAUCAAAAAAGAAAGGGCGAGCGAAGUGAUAGAAAAAGAACUUGUUCUUUGUCAGUCCUAUCUAUAAGAGGAGAGCAUAUGAAAAAUGUACCGAUUCUUUCGUUUUCUCACGCCACUGGCCAUCCGCCGGGAGUUGGGUUUAAUACCGAUAUUUUAGCAACAAAUCCAAUAAAUCUAAGUGUAGUGAUUGGUGUAUUGAUUUUUUUUGGAAAGGGAGUGUGUGCGGGUUGUGAUUUCAAGAAUAGGUUGGAUCCAUCCGGCUGCACUUUACUUUAUUUAUAGUUAUUUAUAGUUAUAGUAUAUUUAGGAUAAAUAGGAAAAAAGGUGCACGAUCUCGACGAAUUACUUCUGAAUAAAUUCAAAAAUCAUAUGUAAGAACCAUAGCAUUUCGUGACUUAUUGGUAAAUCAACUUUGAUUCUCUAUCAACCAAUAUGUGAGACCAUUAACAUGGUUAAAGCUAAACUGUUUGAAGUCCAGGCAAAACAUGGUCUCUUCUACGACUACAUUAGUACUGAAAUGUUUUCCAAAUGAAUAGUUGGUAAUUUAUCUGAUAUAGAACACUCAUAUCGAUAAAAGGAUUUGAACCAUUUACUAGAAAGAAAAGGCACUCUGCCUUUUUUAUCCAAUGCCGAAUCGACGACCUAUGUAUAAAAAAAGAGGAAUUUUUGGAUUUGAAAGAAAAAGAAAAAAUCUAAUUCCAAAUUAGAAAUUUUUUAAAUUUAUUUAAUUAAAUAAAAAAGAAAUUUAAUUAAAUUAAGAACAAAUACAAAUAAAGAAACAACUUUGCUGACAUUAUCGAUUUUUAUCUGGUCGGAAGAGUCCUCCUAAUAUUUAUUCUGGUCUUGUAUCAGUUUAGAUAUCUUUGAAUACAAACAGAAAAGAAAAGAGAGGCAGGCUCAUUACAUUAAAAAAAAAAGAUAUGGGAAUACCCAUAACAAAAAAAUCAAAUAAAUAAUUGAGCGUGAGAGCCAAAUGAAUCGAAAGAUUCAUGUUUGGUUCGGGAAGAGAUCAUGAAAGUUGUGAAAUUAAUGGUAAGAUAAUCUACUUUCAUUAAAUGAUUUAUUAGAUAAUCGAAAACAGAGGAUCUUGAGUACUAUUCGAAAUUCAGAAGAAUUACGUAGAGGGGCCAUUGAGCAGCUCGAAAAAGCCCGGGUUCGCUUACAGAAAGUGGAACUGGAAGCAGAUGAGUAUCGAAUGAAUGGAUACUCUGAGAUAGAACGAGAAAAAGAAAAUUUGAUUAAAGCUACUUGUGAUAGUUUGGAACGAUUAGAAAAUUACAAAAAUGAAACCCUUCAUUUUGAACAACAAAGAGCGAUAAAUCAAGUCCGACAACGAGUUUUCCAACAAGCCUUACAAGGAGCUCUAGGAACUCUGAAUAGUUGUUUGAAUACCGAGUUACAUUUCCGUGCGAUCCGUACUAAUAUUGGCAUUCUUGGGGCCAUGGAAGAAAUAACUGAUUAGCCCUUCCACUUUUACUUUAGUUUACAAUUUAGGCAUUAUUUUUUUCCCUUUGCUUCCGAAAAAGAAUAAAGAAACACUAAUGGUAACCACCGGUACCGUACUUCAAGUAGGCGACGGCAUUGCUCGUAUUCAUGGUCUUGAUGAAGUAAUGGCAGGUGAAUUAGUAGAAUUUGAAGAGGGUACAAUAGGCAUUGCUCUGAACUUGGAAUCCAAUAAUGUUGGCGUUGUAUUAAUGGGUGAUGGUUUGAUGAUACAAGAGGGAAGUUCUGUAAAAGCAACAGGAAGAAUUGCUCAGAUACCUGUGAGUGAGGCUUAUUUGGGUCGUGUUAUAAAUGCUUUGGCUACACCUAUUGAUGGGAGAGGGGAAAUUUCAGCUUCUGAAUCUCGGUUAAUUGAAUCCCCUGCCCCCGGUAUUAUUUCGAGACGUUCUGUAUAUGAGCCCCUUCAAACAGGGCUUAUUGCUAUUGAUUCGAUGAUCCCUAUAGGACGCGGUCAGCGAGAAUUAAUUAUUGGGGACAGACAGACCGGCAAAACAGCAGUAGCCACAGAUACGAUUCUCAAUCAAAAAGGGCAAAAUGUAAUAUGUGUUUAUGUAGCUAUCGGUCAAAAAGCAUCUUCUGUGGCUCAGGUAGUGACUACUUUCCAGGAGCGAGGGGCCAUGGAAUACACUAUUGUCGUAGCUGAAACGGCGGAUUCACCUGCUACAUUACAAUACCUCGCCCCUUAUACGGGAGCAGCUUUGGCUGAAUAUUUUAUGUACCGUGAACGACAUACUUUAAUAAUUUAUGAUGAUCUCUCCAAACAGGCACAAGCUUAUCGCCAAAUGUCUCUUCUAUUAAGAAGACCUCCCGGUCGUGAAGCUUGAGUAUUCUAUAGUGUCACCUAAAUAGCUUGGCUUUUGGAAAGAGCCGCUAAAUCAAGUUCUAGUUUAGGUGAAGGAAGUAUGACUGCUUUACCAAUAGUUGAGACUCAAUCUGGAGACGUUUCAGCUUAUAUUCCUACUAAUGUAAUUUCCAUUACAGAUGGACAAAUAUUCUUAUCCGCCGAUCUAUUCAAUGCUGGAAUCCGACCUGCUAUUAAUGUGGGUAUUUCUGUUUCCAGAGUAGGAUCCGCAGCUCAAAUUAAAGCCAUGAAACAGGUAGCUGGCAAAUCAAAAUUGGAACUAGCGCAAUUCGCAGAGUUAGAAGCCUUUGCACAAUUUGCUUCUGAUCUCGAUAAAGCUACUCAGAAUCAAUUGGCAAGAGGUCAACGAUUACGUGAGUUGCUUAAACAAUCCCAAUCAGACCCUCUCACGGUGGAAGAGCAGAUAGCUACUAUUUAUACCGGAGCGAAUGGAUAUCUUGAUCCGUUAGAAAUUGGACAGGUAAAGAAAUUUCUUGUUCAGUUACGUACUUACUUAAAAAAGAAUAAACCUCAAUUCCAAGAAAUUCUAUCUUCUACCAAGACAUUCACCGAGCAAGCAGAAGCCGUUUUGAAGGAAGCUAUUCAGGAACAGAUCGAACUAUUUCUACUUCAGGAACAACCAUAAAUUUAUCAUACUUAUUCUUAGCAUGAGAGUAAUCAUUGAGAAAAAUUUCUGAUUUGAAUCAUUCAAAAAGGGUUUCUUAGUAUAGACAUUUAAGAAAAUAGAUGGAAAAAAAAUUGCGUCCAAUAGGAUUUGAACCUAUACCAAAGGUUUAGAAGACCUCUGUCCUAUCCAUUAGACAAUGGACGCUUUUCAUUUCUAUUUUCUUCUUUCGUAUUCUUACUUUACUCUUGUUCAAAUAAAAAACGAUUAUAUGGAAAAUAUAUCUUUUCGGGAAAAAAGGAUGCAUAUCCAAAUUGAUGACGCAUAUACAAUAAUGAAUAUGGAGCGGGUAGCGGGAAUCGAACCCGCAUCGUUAGCUUGGAAGGCUAGGGGUUAUAGUCGACGUUGGUUGAUCAUUUUUAACGUCUCUAAUUCAAAACCGAACAUGAAAUUUUGGUUUCAUUCGGCUCCUUUAUGGAAGGUCCAUAUAUUUCCAGAGAAAAAAUUAGAUCCAUAACAUCUAUGUCAGCUUUUCUGUAUGAAUGCAUCUAAAGCUACUCGCUUUCUAGAUGAUCCCUCUAGAGGAGAGAGAUUAUACCAAAUCUAUCUAGUCUAGUUACUUCGUUCCCUAUUUUCACUCCCAGGAUCCUCAGGAAAAGAAUUUGGUUUCUACCGAGCUGAAACAAUAUGCUGAUGGUUCUAGUAAACCAAAACUAUCGUUUUUUAGCUAUUUGGCUUCAAUUUCCUUUUACAACACAAAAAUGGAAGAUCUAGUUACGAUUGGAAAUAAACUUUUGUAUCUUCAUCCAUAGACCCUUUACCUAUACUUAUUCAAUUGGAAUAGUUAAUCCAAUUCAAAAAAUUAUGCUUCGCGAAUCCAUAUCCAUAAUCCAAUUUUUUGAUGCAAUUCCUAAUUGGCCUUUGGAUACAAAUCGUGAGAACGUAUAUUUUUCCUCAAAUAUGCUAUUGAGAGGAAAAGGAUUAAACCUUUUUAAGAAAUAAAGUUUUUGAUCGGAGUUUGAAAAAAAAAACCGAUGGACCCCUUAACUAUUUUAGUUGUUAAUAGAACGAAUCACACUUUUACCACUAAACUAUAUAUAUAUAUAUAUAUAUAAAGUUUAAAUAUGUAUUUUUAUUUUUGUAACUGGUGUUGUUGAUUUCCCUUGUGUUUGUUCUCAGUAGCUUGGUUUUUUUUAUUUUUUUGACAGAUAAGUAUUAUGCUAUCCGCUUCGUUUAUUUCAUUUAAAAAUAAACAUAGCUGAAAAUGUGAAUCAAAUAAGAUUUGAACUUGGGUCUCUGGUACCAACCACCAAGCCGUAUUUCCAGUAGCUUUGUUGUAUGAGUUAUUAAUGUAAUAAAGCAAAUCAUCGUAAAUACGUACGUACCACUCAAUAAUUCUGUACUUAGGUCGAUGUAAUAUGUGAAAUAUUUAUUCCGUUUAGUUUAUUGUAAUCUGCAUCAGUAAAAUAAUAAUAAUAAAAAAAAAGUGGAUUAGGAAGUAAGUUUAUUUACAUUUGUGGAUUGUUUACAGUUUCUUUAUUUAAUCAUCAAAUAAACCAAUAUUUAAUUACUUUUUCUUUUUUUUUUCUGGGAUUGGUUGUCUAAAUUUAUGCUUUAUAUAUAUAUAUAUUAUUGAUUUUACCAUAAACCGCAUAAUCACUUUUUAAAUUGUGCACCAUGUUAAGAUAUAGGCUCAAAGCAUGAAUCAUAUUAGGCUAAACCCGAGAGACGUGAUGAUAAUUGUGGANAUAUAUAUAUAGAGUUGAGCUGGAAUACUAUCGGUAGCAAACGGGCUCCGUUGCCACCCAUUUGUUUUCGAUGAUGGAGCCUCCGAAUCGAUGAUCGACACCGUUGAACAUGAUCUAUACCACUUGAAGCAUAUAGAAAUCAAAUUUCAUGCUUUUCCGAUAUUAUUUUCUUGUCUAUCAAGUGGAGACAAAAUGAACGGCUGAAAAUGAAUAUUCUUCAAAAAAUGAUGAUAGAAAUCUUGUAAUCAAGAUCGAGAGUAUAGAUCUUAUUCUAAAUAGUUUAAAAAAUUUUCUAACCAAAAUUCAAUUGAUUUGGAUAUCUUUACACCGUUAAACGAGAAAACGCCUCAUAUCGACCAUUAAAAUUACAAAUUUUGAAACUCUUUGAUCAUUAGGUCAAUGAUGUCCAAAAGAUUUGAAAUUUGAUUUCUAGAUACUUCAAGUGGUAUAGAUAACGUUCAACGGUGCCGAUCGUCGAUUUGAAGACUCCAUCAUCGAAAACAAAUGGGUGGCAAUGGAGCCCGUUUGCUACCGAUAGUAUUCUAGCUCAACACUAUAUAUAUAUAUAUAUAUAUAUAGAACUAGGCUUGAAUACUAUUAAUAGCACCAAUGACUUGGUGCUAUUAAGUUUUCUGCUCUUGGAUUAAAAGAUGUGCGGUUAGGAUGAUGUGGGCCCCCUAGGGUUGAGUGGGUGGUUGGUUGAAUAGUAUAAUCCAACGGAUGAAAAUGAUAAAAGAGGUAGAUCAAACGGCAGAAAACUUGAUAGCACUAAAUACUUUGUGCUAUCGAUAGUAUCCCAGCCGGACUCUCUCUCUCUCGAUAUAUAUAUAUAUAUAUAUAUAUAUAUAUAUAUAUAUAUAUAUAUAUAUUGUUUUUGCUUUAAUCUUGUUUUUAUCUUUUUGAUAGAGGACUACUUUGUUUAACUAUGUUACCCUAAUUAAUAAAAAGGCUACUGAUUCCUAUAUUUCUCCUGUUUGUAUCCUCAAUAAACUAGGGCUCUCUCUCUCUCUCUCUUUCUCUCUCGCUCAACUAUACACGCGCUUCUCCGUCGCGUGCGUAAUCUCUCUCUCUCGUUCUUGCACGCGCCCACUAAGGCCUUUGUUUCUCAUUCUCCGAUGUCGACACUGCUGCUACACUUCUUCAUUGUUGGUGCCAUUUCGUUUGUUACCAACGUCAUUCUGUUUGGUGAAGGCACCUUGUUCACUGUCGCUUCCUUCAUCAUCAUCUAAAGGUUUUCUAUUUUGUUCUCUUUAUCUUUUUUGCAUAUUUUUGAAAGUAUCAUUCUCUUGAUAGGUUUUAGAUCUAAAAACUAUUUUAAAAAAUAAUAAUAAAUCUGACAUUUAAGUUAAAAUAUUGAUCUUGAAUCAAUAAAGUUCUUAAAAUUGUUUGAACCUCUGUACACCCAUUAGAUUCCAAUAUAUAGAUUUCUUGUAUUCAUAUGUUAUUUGGAAUUCAUACGAAGUGUUUGACUAAAUGUGUAAGAGAAUAAAUAUAAAUUUUGCUUCCGAAUUUGGCCUAAUCGGAUUACAAUUAGUAGACGUUUGUUCCUAUCUGAAAAUUAUUCUUUCGAGUAUUUGAACCUUCGGUUUAAUUUUUUGAAUCCUAUUCAUGUUCCACUACUUUUUUGAAUAAUAUAGUCCAUAGAAUUCUUCCUUUUGAUUGAUAGUUGAGAUUCCUCAACUUAUUAUGUUCAAAGUCUUUUUCCUAUAUGAGAUUGGCCUUUUAGCAACUAAUUAAGACUCGUGCUAAUAUCUAGUUGAGUCUAUCCAAAUUAUGUUGUUGGGUAACGUCAUGUUUCUUAUGAAGUAAUUAGUCCUAUGUCAGAGGGAUUCGACGUCUUUUCGGGUAUUGUUUGGUUGGGGAGCUAUAGGGGGAAUAAAGGGUUAUCCCCCUUUUGUUCCUUAAACAAGAAUUGAGCUAAGGUGCACCCCUGGGUGGAAUUACGCUAUUCCACCCUCGUUCCUCUCGCGCAACUUUUGCCCUUUCCUCUCUCCGAAGCUCUCCUUCCCUUUUCCUCUUCGUCUUCCCUCGCAGUUUACUGUACUCCUCCGAUCGGCUAGGUUUUUCCAUUCUUCAGCUGAUCUGGUGCCACCGGAUCUCCUACAUCUCAGCUAUGACUACCUUCUCUUCCUCCGAAGCAUGCCUUUGCCUCUCCUCCCUCGCCCUCGGCUUCUUCCUACUUCUCGGGUUGCCGUACAGCCGCGAUCGGCUUGAUUUUGGGCCUUUCAAUUGAACCGUAGACAUCGGAUGUACUAGAUCUGGAUCUAUUUUACACAAGUGAAACCCUUGUGUGCAGGUUCGCCUUGCUUCCUCUUCCUAUGACGCCCUCCACCUGUGCAAGACCCUCUCUGUGGCCUUGCAUCUCUCCGAAGCUCUGCUCUUACUUUCCUCCAUCCCUCACUGCUUCUUGCUGUUGAUUGAGUUGUCGUACGACUGAGCUCCUCAGCCGCUUCCUCCCUUCGGCCGAUCCCUAGGUGCAAAUCUCGUAGAUCUGAUUCUAUUCGCUUAAGUUUUGUAAAUUUUGCAGGUAAUUUUUUUUGGCAGCAUCGUCACUUCAUCUUGAAGCCCCUAUUGUUUUACGGGUAGAAAGCCAUAGGGUCUGGAUCUCCCAGAUCCUGCUUAAUCUUUGUGCGGCCUACGCAAGAUCAUCUUCGUGCCUCCCCUGUUUAAGGUGUCCCGAUCCGCUUGCAUAAGGUUUGGUAACCAAGGUUUCAUUGCUCAUACUUAUGUUUGCUCUAACCUUUUAUCCUUGGAGGAUAUAUUAUUUACUCAUUUGCAUGAUAAUAUUGUAAGGAACUAUAUCCUAUCUUCAUUCAUGGUCACUCUAUGUCGUCCCUAAUAUUGUGAACCCUGUGCUAGCAUGUUGGAUUUUAACUGUGAUAUGUAUGAUUGCCGAAAAGUAAGACAGUGUGUGGAAUUGAAAAUAGUAUUUUGUAUGGCAAUGAAGGUUGCGAAAGAUGAUUUUGGCGAUGAUGACGAUUUCCAGAAGCAUUUGAUGGAUGGCAUGGAUCUACAAUUCAAAGCACCCCGAUGCUUCUUGGAAACCACUUUGAGCCGCAUGACCCAAAAGACCACCAUAAGAUGCAGAUUUAUGUCUCAUUAAAAUCUCUUCCUAGUGCAUCCUUCGUCUGUAAUUAGUUCUAGUUGUCAUAUGGCUUCACUUGUAUUUCAUUAUAAUAAGUUGCUACUACUUCAGUAUUGGAAAUAGUCUUGCUAGUGUUUGGACAUAGUCAAACAUAUAUUUGCUUAGCUGCUGCUACAUGUAUAGUUCCCUUGCCAUCUUUAUUAGCUUCUUGACCGUAAUGUAUGUCUAAUGUUGUGUGCUUGCUGCGUACACAUAUUUAAUUGUGUCAAUCCACAUGAAUGGUUUUUGGUGAAGUGCUUUCUUGAACUACAGAUGCCUCCUGUCAAGAAACCAUCUAAGUAUGUUCAUAAGAAAGGUGUGGUGUUCGAAAUCCCACCAACUGAAAAUUUACAGAUUGAUGAUAGUAGCAGAUUGCAUAACCAAACUUGGAAGCAAACUCAAAAUUGGACCAACAGUUUAGAUGCAAGUAUGCUAAGUCAGCUGACAAAAGAACACGCUUUAGGAAACUACACCAAUGGGUCUUUCACAAACGUUGUGUGGACUAGGAUAAUAACCGAUUUCAACUCUAGGAACAAUAUGAACCUGACAAGGGAGCAAAUAAAGAAUCGGCUUAAAGUUCUAAAAAGAACUUUUAUGCUGUACAACUGUCUUGAAAAUAAGAGCGGGUGAGGAUGGGAUUAUGUCUACAACAUUCCCACGGUUGGUGACGUAAGUGACUGGGAUGCAAUAAUUGCAGUACAAUUUAACGACUUUCAUUUCAACUUAUUAUUACACUAGAUUCUUUCUUUCAUUUCCAUAAUUAUAAUAAUCUUUAUUUAGGAGAAUCCGGCGUAUGCAAAGUGUAGGGAUAAACCCUUUCCAGCCUAUAAGGACAUUGCAUUCCUUACUUCAAAGACAAUGGCUAUAGAAAGAUAUGGUUUUUUGUUAGGAAUGGCGCCAGCCCCUACGAUAGAUAGCUCAUCCUCAUCGUCUCCUGGUGAGGAUGAAAGUAUACUUGGAGAGAGAAUGUCUGCAUUCAAUCUUUCACCUACUCCCAUCGAAUAAGGGUCAACUGGCUCAGCUUUCAAUGCCAAUCCCUGAAGAAAUAAUACCUCACGAUCCACUAGCCCUACCGCUGCUCCCACCACUGCACGAGCAAGUGCUAGUGGCUCUGGCCACUCCUUUGGUGGGAAAAGGCCUCAUUCCCCACAACAUGCCAAUCCUCCACGGAAACAAGCAUCGUCAUCUAGAAGACGAAGCAAAAAAAGUGAAACCGCAAGUGACGCGGUAGUAGAGAUGGUAGAACUUGGUAAACAAAAGCUAGAUCUAGUACGACAAAUUUACCAUAGUGAGGUCGGCAAUCGAGCAAGCAUCCCUUCGAUCGAUACGUGCAUGACAAGUGUGUAUAAUCUACUUGGGAUGACAAAUGAGCGAAUUUUGGCAGCAGGUGAUGCGUUAAGAGACGACAAGAAUCGUCAAGUUUUUAUGACUAUGAAUGAUAAGGUAGCAUGAAUGUGGGUUGACCGGCAAGUUGCACUGCAAAAUGUUUUAUACAAGCAAUAAUUUCCUGGCAUGUAGAGCAAGGGUUAAAUGUUGAUGGACGUUACUUACUACUUAUGUUUAGUUAUUUUUGCAUUAAUCUUUGCAUGUAUCUGAUGUUUUAGUACUAUUUAUGUAAUCGUAAGCUUUAGACAUGUCUUUACUUACAUGUAAUGCUUAUCUUUCACAUAAUGGUAGAUCGCAUUGCUAAGGUAAAGAAUUUUCAUAUAUUAUGUUUUAUUUAGUUCUUUACUACAUGUUAAUUAUGUGAGUUAUGUUCUUUUUACUUCAUGCAUCGCGAAUACAUGUCAAGCAAUGUAACUAUAUACAUGAUUCUAAUGUUGUGGUGAUGAAUAUGAAUUUCUUGCAGCAGUGAUGGGUGAGUUUUUAUAUUCCACUGUGUUUUCUUCCCUAGUCAUAAGCAAUCCAAUGACAAUAUUAGAUGAAGCUGAUGACUAUUGGGAUCAAGUAUUCGUAAUGCUCAUUGACCAAGGAUACUUGACAUAUAGUAAUACGUAUAAUAAGCGACAAUGUCUUACGAGGCCUUUUACUGGCCAUCAAUUGAUUUGUGAUAUCUUGAAUGGUCAUCCUGAUCGUGGGUACAAUCAUUUUUGAAUGACGACCAUUGCAUUCAUUGCUCUCUGCAAUGAGCUUGUCGGAAGAGAGUUGAUAAAUAGCACAAGGAAUAUGACUGCUGACGAACAGUUAGCAAUUUUUCUUUUUUGCGUAGGGCAUGGGGUUGCAAAUAGGAUGUUGGCAGAAACUUUUCAACAUUCAGGAGAAACUAUUAGUCGACAUUUCAACAAUGUGCUCUAUGGAAUUGUGAUACUGAAAGAUUAUUACGUAACUUUGCCACCGAGUAAUGCUGCAAUGCAUCCAAGAAUUAGGAAUAAUUUUAAUUUUCAUCCUUUCAAGGUAAAGUAGAAGUAAUAUAUUAUCUUGGUCUGCUUGUUAUCUAUUAUUUGUUAUGAAUUGAUUAGUAUGUUGUUGGAUGAUUUGUAUAAUGCAAUAGGUGCGGUGGACGGUACGCAUAUUCCGGUAGUUGUCCGAAAGAGCAAGCAACCACGAUUUCAGUGUCACAAGGGUUUACAUCGCAAAAUAUGAUGGUUGUUGUAUUAUUUGAUCAUAUAUUUCUAUUUGUAUGUACAUGAUGAGAAGGUUCAGCGGUUGAUACUAGAGUACUAAGAUAGGCUUGUAAAAGUGGAGGUUUUACUAUCCCUGAAGUAUGUACCACAUAUUUGCUUCAUAUAUUAUAAUGUAAAUACUUAUGAAUGAUCAUACAUUAUUAUUGAGACUUGCAUUUGUCGACAAUGUUCGCAGGGAAAUAUUACUUGGUAGAUUUUGGAUAUGCAAAUAUAGAUAAAUUCCUUGUGCCAUAUCGCAGAGAGAGAUACCAUCUUAGUCAAUUUGAUGGUAAUACACGUGGCCGCACACAUCGAAGUCCGUGGGACUUUAUAAUCAUCGACAUGCUCAAUUAAGAAAUGUUGUAGAGAAGACUUUCGGCAUCUUGAAGAAGCAUUUCAAGAUCCUAAAUCAUGCAACUCCAUUCCCCUAUAAAGUGCAAUGUCUGAUUGGUAUGGCAUGUUGUGUGAUGCACAACUUUAUUCGACGACACCAAGAAAUGAUAGAUAUUUUACUGAAAACCUUGACCCAUUGUCUUCAGAGGAUGAAAAGGAAGACCCGAGCGAUUUCGGCGGCACAUCGGACUCAUGCAGGGGUGACGAUCUUCGAACUAGUAUCACAGACCAAUUAUGGAAUAGUAGAAGUUAAUUAUUUAAACUGUCGGUUGUAAUGAAUUAUAUUAAAUGGGUUUGCACCCAACUGUGAUAAUGAUAUGUGAUUGCAUGGUAUAUUUAGACAUGUAUUUCUUUGCUUGCAGGUAUCCGUCUUGAGUGGUACACUUUGUAAUGUACAUAUUGGAAUAUUUUUAUGUCAACAUGCUUUAUUGUAAAUGUCUGGUACCGUUUGUAAUAUAUGGUUUGUUGUGGAUAUUACUAAAUUAUGCUAAACUCACAAAUGUUUGGAAUUUUCAUAUAUUGUUGCUUCCAUUAUGAUGAUAUUGUGUGCUUCAUUACUUAUAUGAGUUUCUGUACAAUUUAGACAUUUUGCACAUGGGAUACUUGUUAUUUACAAGUGGGCUUACGAGAUUUAAAAAUUUCAAUACAAUACAACAAUGUUAACAACCUUAAUUUCGUUGUAGUUAAUUAUUUGCUCACAUGAUUGUAAACCUUAUUGCAGUGUUAUUAAAUAUAUUUAUUUAUAAGGCAAAUUUAUUUUAAUAUUGGCAGAAUAAAUAUUGAAAUAAAAUUUAUGUUUAAUUUUAUAAUAUAUUAAUUUAUUGAACUAUUUAUCCUAUCAAAUUAAAUCAAACUAUAUUUAUAUUUAAUUAUACAUUCACAUUUUGCUUAUAUAGCAUAAUAAGCACGAGGAGUAAUAUCAUCAUUUUAACUUUUAACUAUCUUCUAUUCUUCUUAUUCUAUCUUAUACAUCCAAACACUAUUUUUCUUAUACCUGGUACAAACCUAAUACUCAUCCAAACACAAAAUCACAAAAGUUCUAGCUCGUUCUAGCAUUUAUACCUAUCCCUAGAAUAAGAAGUUCUAGCUUAUACCCGAACCAAACGGUAACUUAGAGACUCGAUCGGAACCUAGUAAAGCUUUGAUUAUUUUUGUGUUUCGUUCUUGUAAUGAUAUUUUGUUCCUUAUGUUAGGUUUCGUGGAAUUAAUUUGAUAUCCGACGUUUGACCGAACGACACUCGGAUUAAUUGAAGGUAAGUGACUUAACAGCCGUUAGUUUUUUGGCAAAAUUAUAUAAAUAUGUUACGGUAACAAAAAUCCCUUUUGUCUAGUUCUUUCUCAAAAUAAGGGUUAAGUAUGUUUAUAUAAAUUACAAAUCGUUGAAAGAAUAUAAUUUCUAAAAGGUUUUGCACUGAUUGUUGUGCAAUAUUUGGUAAAAAUUUAGCAUUCGAAACUUGCUCUCUUUUAAAUGUUGAAUGGGUGAAUGACCUUAAAAUGUAGUCUCUUGGUAUUUUGCUUUAAUUAUGUUGGCCAUGUCGACAUGAAUUUUGUGAUAGAGGCUAACUUUGAUUUAUGAUGCACCACUAAGUGCAAUUUUGUCACGCCUCUUCAGGUGCAAUUUUGUGAUGCACCUUCUGGUGCUAUUUAGAUGACUUUCAGAUGAUUUUGCUUUGCAAUCGUGCCUUCGGGUGUCUGUGAUGUGUGUUUAGGACCUUUGCCAAUAGGUCGCUAGAGACUUUCGGUUCAAAUUCUAAUUUUAAAAUAAGAAUGGUUUUGUUUAAAUUACAUUUCUCUUUGUUCCUUUGUGAAAUACACUUGUUAUAAGACUCAAUAAUUCAAAAUUGAGAUUUUUGAAUUUUGCUAAACUCAGUCGUCGCUAUUUUUUAUAACAAAGUUAUAUUUGAAUAUUUAGAAAAUAUUUUAUUUGCAUUCUUAAUCCAAAUAAUAUGGUGUAUGGUUGCUUACCAAGGUAUGGAGUAUGUGGUGAUGGGACCGAGUGAUCACUAAAUGCUAAGAUUCUUUUGUUUCUGAAUUAUUGUUAAUAAAAUUAGAUUGUUUAGUUUAAAGUUUAAUUUGUGACUAACAUAAAAUAUAUUUGCUUGGUUAGAAUUGUUGCAAAAUGUUGUGAACUUAGUUGAGUAUUUGUGAAACUUUCAGCCAUAAAUUUAAUUGUGAAUUCAAAUCUGAAAAGUAUUUAAUUUGAUUUAGUGAUAGACUAUUUUUGCCCGAUAUCUACAUAUUUUGUUGCCCUGCAUGUUUGUGAUUGAAUAAUUACAGAUAUGCGGUUUUUGUUAUGUCUCGGGUUUAGGGCAUGACAGGCGCAUGCAAAGAGAUAAACACGACAAAAAUGAAAAUGCUUUGAAAUCACGAGCUCAAAAUAGGAUUCUAUCUAAUAAGGAUGUUCCAGCAAAAAUUAUUCAUAAAAACGCAGCACAGAUAUAAACGUAUACCGAUAAUAAGUCUUAGUGAAAAAGAACCAAACAAGAAUAUUUAACUCAUUCAAGUUAACAAAAUACACACUCCUAAUAAAACAUAAGAACCAUUUAACAAUAUAUUAAAAGUGGGAUGAAAAAAGAAACUAUACCUCACAAUGAUAAUAAUUAUGAAAUUUUCUUCACAUAGAGGCCUCUUGCAAACCAACUACAAAAACCAACGACCAAUAGUCCUCAAUAAAAGAACAUUAACAGUCAAAUAAAAUAUUAACUGUAUCUAUUGUUUCUUAUUUGUUAUUUUCUAUUGGAAGUAUGUGUAAAAUUUGUAAUAUCCGAUAUUUUGACAAUGUAACUAAACCCUUUGUUGACGAUGUUUUUGUGUGUAAUGUAAUUACUUAAGCACUCGUCAAAUUUCAGGAGAAAACGAGUUAGGAUGGAGAAGUUAUGCGACCGGUACCAAUUACUUAAAGUGAAUAGUAACUCCAGUUUUCCGGAGAAGCCAAUGAAUGGAGAAGGCUUCUGGUGCGUAUUGGACUCCGAUCAUAGGGAUCCAAUAGCUCGUUUUCGACGGUUUGACUAUCCUAGACCUAAUGGCACUGACGGAUUUGGGUUCUGAUGCACGGUUUUUGAGAAAAAGGGGUUUGAUUGGAUUUAUAUAUAUAUAUGUGUGUAUAUAUAUGUGUUUUAUAGUGGAAACAAAGAGGGUUGAUUUCGUCGUGAAUCGGCGACCAAAUCGGACGAAGCGAAAUGCUAGAUUCGAUACCCCAAUCGUGCUGAACGCGCUGGCGCGAUUCGAUCGGAAAUCCGACGGACGGAUCUUCGGGAAUCUAGAAAUGUUCACUGAGGGAUCGAAUUGGCCAAAACGGAAAUUUCGCGAAAGGUCCAGUAUUUUAUGCACCGUUUUGCGCGAUUUCGAACGUCGAGGGGCUAGUGCGCAAGAUACACGCAUGGUAAAGGACUGGGUUGAGAAUUUUCAGAAAAAUGGGACUUUUUUGUAAUUAUACUACCUAGGUAUAAAUGCUGGUGCUAGGUUUUCACAAAGGAAACCCUAACACGAGUGCACCCUGCUACCAGCUAACCCUAGCCGUCGUUAGCUCGACCCUGCCCUUGUCGUGAGCGCGCCCUGGCUGCCGGAAAACCCGGCAGCACUUUCCUUUCAUCCCCUCUCGGCCACCCUCUCCUCCCUCUCGGCCGAGGUUUGCUGGAAAGCACUCGAAAGCCCUGGAAGCAUUUCCCUUGGCCGAGAUUUCCUCUUCGGCGCCAUCACCGGUCGUCCCUACCGUCAACACCGCCAGAGCCACCCAUGCAAGCCGCGGCCAGCCUGGGUCAGCUCGGGCCGAGCUGACUUCAGCUCGGGGCCCGUU